GCAGCAGCACUGUUUGCUGCUCUUGCGCCCACAGUUUUGGGCGAGUUAACAGAUAGAAGGAUGAUAUCGAUG
rfam:Pantoea ananatis LMG 20103, complete genome.